rnacentral:rRNA from 1 species
UACGUAGGGUGCAAGCGUUAAUCGGAAUUACUGGGCGUAAAGGGUGCGUAGGCGGUUGUUUAAGUCUGUCGUGAAAUCCCCGGGCUCAACCUGGGAAUGGCGAUGGAUACUGGGCAGCUAGAGUGUGUCAGAGGAUGGUGGAAUUCCCGGCGUAGCGGUGAAAUGCGUAGAGAUCGGGAGGAACAUCAGUGGCGAAGGCGGCCAUCUGGGACAACACUGACGCUGAAGCACGAAAGCGUGGGGAGCAAACAGG